rnacentral:pre_miRNA from 1 species
AUUCUACUCCCUCCGUUGCACAAUACUACAUGCCUUCUAUUUGUCAAAAUAUAUAUGUAUCUAGACAUGUCUUAGUAUAUAGGUACAUCCAUUUUUGGACAAAUCGAAGUCAGGUAUUUUGGAACGGAGGGAGUACACA